GACGAACGCUGGCGGCGUGCUUAACACAUGCAAGUCGAACGGAAAGGCCCCUUUGGGGGUACUCGAGUGGCGAACGGGUGAGUAACACGUGAGUAACCUGCCCUUGACUUCGGGAUAACUUCAGGAAACUAGGGCUAAUACCGGAUAGGGAUCCUUGCUGCAUGGUGGGGGUUGGAACGCUUCGGCGGUUUUGGAUGGACUCGCGGCUUAUCAGCUUGUUGGUGGGGUAGUGGCAUACCAAGGCUUUGACGGGUAGCCGGCCUGGGAGGGCGACCGGCCACAUUGGGACUGGGACACGGCCCAGACUCCGACUGGAAGCAGCAGUGGGGAAGAUUGCUCAAGGGGCGGAAGCCUGAGGCAGCAACGCCCCGUGCGGGAGGACGGCCUUCGGGUUGUAAACCGCUUUCAGCAGGGGCCAAGCUGGUGGUGACGGUACCGGCAGAAGAAGCACCGGCUAACUACGUG
rnacentral:rRNA from 1 species